rnacentral:rRNA from 1 species
CAUGCCGUAAACGAUGAUAGCUAGAUGUGUGAGGUAUUGACCCCUUACGUGUCGAAGUCAACACGAUAAGCUAUCCGCCUGGGGAGUACGGUCGCAAGAUUAAAACUCAAAGGAAUUGACGGGGGCCCGCACAAGCGGUGGAGCAUGUGGUUUAAUUCGACGCAACGCGAAGAACCUUACCUAGGCUUGACAUGUAUAGAAGUCCUUAGAAAUUUGGAUGUGCUCGCAAGAGAACUAUAACACAGGUGC